GUGCUCAUUAAACAGCACAUAUACUAAAAUUGGAAUGAUAAAGAGAAGGUUGGCCUGUACAAGGAAGAUACUUUAGUUUGUGCAGUAAUGCGUGUUGAU
rnacentral:snRNA from 1 species